rnacentral:rRNA from 1 species
AACGAACGCUGGCGGCAGGCUUAACACAUGCAAGUCGAGCGCCCCGCAAGGGGAGCGGCAGACGGGUGAGUAACGCGUGGGAAUCUACCCAUCUCUACGGAAUAACGCAUGGAAACGUGUGCUAAUACCGUAUACGUCCUUCAGGAGAAAGAUUUAUCGGAGAUGGAUGAGCCCGCGUUGGAUUAGCUAGUUGGUGGGGUAAAGGCCUACCAAGGCGACGAUCCAUAGCUGGUCUGAGAGGAUGAUCGGCCACACUGGGACUGAGACACGGCCCAGACUCCUCCGGGGGGCGGCGGUGGGGAAUGUUGGACAAUGGGCGCAAGCCCGAUCCAGCCAUGCCGCGUGAGUGAUGAAGGCCCUAGGGUUGUAAAGCUCUUUCACCGGUGAAGAUAAUGACGGUAACCGGAGAAGAAGCCCCGGCUAACUUCGUGCCAGCCGCCGCCGUAACAC